CCUACGGGAGGCAGCAGUGGGGAAUAUUGGGCAAUGGGCGCAAGCCUGACCCAGCAACGCCGCGUGAAGGAAGAAGGCUUUCGGGUUGUAAACUUCUUUUCUCAGGGACGAAGAAAGUGACGGUACCUGAGGAAUAAGCCACGGCUAACUACGUGCCAGCAGCCGCGGUAAUACGUAGGUGGCAAGCGUUAUCCGGAUUUACGGGGUGUAAGGGGCGUGUAGGCGGGACUGCAAGUCAGAUGUGAAAACCACGGGCUCAACCUGUGGGCUGCCUUUGAAACUGUAGUUCUUGAGUACUGGAGAGGCGGACGGAAGUCCUAGUGUAGCGGUGAAAUGCGUAGAUAUUAGGAGGAACACCAGUGGCGAAGGCAGUCUGCUGGACAGCAACUGACGCUGAGGCGCGAAAGCGUGGGGAGCAAACAGGAUUAGAUACCCCUGUAGUC
rnacentral:rRNA from 1 species